CCAUCCCUAGAAGCAUUGCAGGUGUGGCUACCGUGUCACAUGUAUGUCAGUAGUGGAAGAGAGGAGAGAAGCUAUGUCUACCCUCAGUGUUCUCACUUGUGAACAUCUGAAUGAUUAGUAGCCUAACACU
ensembl:snoRNA LOC120102049 small nucleolar RNA SNORA17